UACGUAGGGGGCAAGCGUUGUCCGGAAUCAUUGGGCGUAAAGCGCGUGUAGGCGGCCAGGAAAGUCUGGUGUGAAAUCUUGGGGGCUCAACCCCAAGCGGUCACUGGAUACUUUCUGGCUUGAGUCCGGAAGAGGGAAGUGGAAUUUCCGGUGUAGCGGUGAAAUGCGUAGAUAUCGGAAGGAACAUCAGUGGCGAAAGCGACUUCCUGGACCAAUACUGACGCUCAUGUGCGAAAGCGUGGGGAGCAAACAGG
rnacentral:rRNA from 1 species